UGUUUUAUUGUUUGGUUGGUAGGUCUUCCUUAAAUCAGGAUAACGAUAAGACCACUUAUGGGGCUUUUAUAAAGGUGGAUCCUCUUCAUGAGAAGCUGUCACUAAGAAGCUUGAUAGAUCACUCCAUAGUGGAGAGCCUUGCCGGACAAGGGAAGGCGUGCAUCACAGCUAGAGUUUAUCCCACAUUGGCCAUUGAUGUUGAUGCCCACUUGUAUGCCUUCAAUUAUGGAACCGAGGAUGUAAAAAUCACAGGAAGUGCAUGGAGCUUGAAAACAGCAAAAAUCAAUUGAAUUAUAUAUAUAUUAUGACUAGUGGAGAGGACUCUUGGAAGAAGGAGAAGAAAAGCUUGGAAAUAUUAUUCAUUCUUAUGAUCUUGGUUCCGCAUAAUUGAGAUUAAUAACUAUUAAAACUAUUUGGUUCUGCUUAAUUAUUAUAUAAAGCUACUUGUUCAAUCGA